AAAAAAAUUCUGAGUUAAUUUAACCCAACGGUUGGGUUUGUCCUUGUGACCCAACAACGCUGGGCUGAAAAUAAGUGCAUAUUAGAAGGUUUAAGAAUAGAUACACACAAAAAUAUAAAGCGCAAUUUAAAUUACAAGUGAACCCACCUGUUUCCUUUACCUGUAUGUGUUUGACACAUUUGAAUGAAAACAUCACAUACAGUGAGGCUUACAUUUUCAAUCAAUAUGGCAAUCUGUAUAUUCAAGUUCGUAAGGGCUCAGAUCAUCAUGGGGAAGGAGUUUCUUUAGUCUACAUAGGUUUUGUCUCUUUCAUCACUCUUGGCCUCAUCAUCAUGAUUGCUGCAGUGAUAUUGACCACCAUUAAGAGCAAUACUAAAGGAGCCUCACCCAACAUCACAGUUAUCAACAAUGACUAUGAGGAUGCAUAAAUAAUCUUGUGGCUUUCUGAAGGAAGAACAAUGGAGAGAAUGGAGAAGUUUAAUGAAUAUGUUUGGCUGUGGUGGAGUGGAAAGCUCUGUGUGUAUAUUUAUGUGUUAGUUACCUCGAGUAAUUGGAGGUGUGUGUUCGUAAUUAACCCUGCAACUAUAAAGCCAAAGCUUGUGUCAUGCCGAGGAGGUCAUAGUUCAUGUGGUCAUGUGAGAGAACCCGAAAGCAUGUCAGAAAUGAAAAUGUCUGUGAGUUCCUUGUGCGAGUUUACCAGGUUUCCCUGAUGCAUCCGUGCAUACUGUCUUUGUGAAGUUUACAAAGUGUACCGUCAGUGUCUAAAAUUGGGAAAGUCCAUCGCUGUUCUCACACUGUUCUUCCUACCUGCUCUCUUCGGGUCAGUGAUUUAAACAUUUUGGCCCAAAACAUUCUCUUACACCACAUUGUGCACACAUCCUCACAAACGCAUACACGCAUUUAUUUAUUUAACGCAGUUACUGAGCCUUUGUUUUUUUGUAAUUUGCCCUUAGGUUUUUCUUUUGAUUACGUGCGUGAUCAACAAACUGGGCUUGUUUAUUGUUGUUGUUUUUUCUUUUUGUGUUUUGUUAUUUCUCUGAAUUUGGCAUUUAUUGCCGAUGUCAAUGGGGAAAGCUUCAAUGUGUGAAUUGUGUGUGAAGUUUACUCCACUAUAUAUAUUCUGAAGUCGUCUAUGAAUUAAAAUUGUGAAAAGAAAAAAAUUGAAACGAUCUGUGUUUUUGGUUUUAUGUAUGUAACCAGUGGUAUAUUUGAGUUAUCCUGGGUUUAAUGGUUCAAGUUUUCUACAAGUACUUCAUUCACAACCAUUAACACGCAGAUUACUCUCUACUAAACCCUGCUUAAAAAGAUAUCAUGUUGUUUAUCUCUUUUGUUCAAUUUCAAUUUGUGUACAGUAAAUGUUACUGUUUCUUUUAGAUGAAAUGCUGAUGUUUGCAUGUGUUUACAGAUAAGAAAUUUGAUGUUAAGCAGCUUUUGAUGAAACAAAAUAAUUUAAAAACAAUUAAAAAUACAUCUGACUUUUACCAAGUUUGACCAAGCUAUCAGUUUUCAAACCCUUCCAAAAUAAUUGUGUCAUUUAUUUAACCAGACGUUUUUAAAACUUGGAUUACUAUAUUAACUCUUUCCCCAUCAUUGACGAUUUACCUUGUCGAUUAAGAGAAAACACUUAACCAGCCAAUAACGCUUCCUUGAUGAGUUUUUAGGAUAAUCUAUGUUUUUGCUAUUAUGCACUAUAGGUGGCGCUCUUACCCAACUUAUAAAACACUGAAGCAUCCACUGAUCCAAAAACAGUAAAAAUUUUGUGUAUGUUUUGAUCAUUAUUCUGGAUCUGAUCGCAAAAGUCUUAAAGUUAAAAUGUUCUUUCAUUUGCUAUAUUGUAUGUUUAUAUAUUUAUAGAAGACAAUUUUCUGGAAGGCAUUUAACUUUUGUAAAAAUCAUGAAAAAUGCUGGCACUGGCUGGCAACUUUUUUUAAAAAGCUGGCGGAGAAAAGAGUUAAUUACUCAUAUGUUAAUGUUUUCAGAAGGUCUUUAGGAGGUGAGUUCAGAUUUAGGAUGUUCACAUGAUCAACAUCCAACCAAAACACUCUAGCAACCACAUAGCAGUGAGUUUUAAAAACACAAAACUUUUUUUCUUAAUAAAUGUGUGGUAUGUGAACGUGCUAUUGUUUAAAGCAACACGAAAGAGUUUUUUUUACCUUAAAAUAACGCUUCCAAAACAGUUUCAGUCAUUCAUCCGCUCUAAACAGGGUGAACAGCACUUUCACAUUAGCUUUGCAGCCCUCUAUCGGCCAAAACCGCACUAAAGAAGUUUCCAAACGUCGGGUAGUGGUCCUGUAGUCCGAGUGAAUACUACAAAAACUUGCUUUACGGCAGACCUACAAUCCAAUCAGAGCCAGCUAUGCCUCAGUAUUUAUGACAGUGGGUAAUGGACAAUUACGCUUCUAACCUGUAGGGGGAGCAAAGAGCCAAAACUCUUUGGUGUUGCUUUAAUGGAAAAAAGCCUGUGAUUGUGUGGAUGCAGAUGAACCUUAAAUGUAGUUUCCAGACACAAAAAACCACAAACCCUGCUGCUGUUGACAGCAAAACGGUAAAAAAUAAAACAAACAAAGGAAAUAAAGUAAAGUAACUGGAACAAAGAUUUUUAGUAGGUAUUGCAAAUGUGUUAUAUUGUUUAUAAGAUAGUCCUAAACAUGUUGCUAACAAAGAUUAUUUUGUUGACUGGACUUUCUCAAGAUACUCAAGUGUUUGUCCACACACCUUUAUGUUAAAAAAGGUUUGAAAGUUGCAUGUUAAAUGAUACGAUUAAUAUUAAAUAUUAUUAGUGCUUUAGUGUUUGCUAACUAUGUUUAUGCUGUUCUUCUUGAUGUUGCCGCUGUUAGUUGU